GGCCCAGCCCCAGAAUCCCCAGGUGACCCGAUUCAGGGAUCAGGACACAACACAGACAAACCACCAUGGAGUCUGUGCUCGGCUGGGUUUUCCUUGUCGCUAUUUUAAAAGGUGUCCAGGGUGAGGUGAAGCUGGUGGAGUCUGGGGGAGACCUGGUGAAGCCUGGGGGGUCCCUGAGACUCUCCUGUGUGGCCUCUGGAUUCACCUUCAGUAGCUACAACAUGGACUGGGUCCGCCAGGCUCCAGGGAAGGGGCUGCAGUGGGUCGCACGGAUUUACAGUGAUGGAAGUAGCACAAGCUACGCAGACGCUGUGAAGGGCCGAUUCACCAUCUCCAGAGACAACGCCAAGAACACGCUGUAUCUGCAGAUGAACAGCCUGAGAGCCGAGGACACGGCCGUGUAUUACUGUGCGAGGGACACAGUGAGGGGACCUCAGUGUGAGCCCAGACACAAACCUCCCUGUGGAAGGGGAUCGGGACCACCAGGGGGUGCACACUCCUCACCACUUCUGUCUUGAAGGCCCAGGAGCAGGUGCAGAUGGAGGUUCUGGGCAGGUUUCCUGUGGGGGUCUGGGCUUCCUCUCCAUGGAGCAGUUUUCACCCGGGAGCCCCUCUGAACUCUUGAUUAUGUGUUUACCUCUUCAUUCUCUUUCUUAGAGACCUAGAAUUCAACUAUAGCAAUUGCACUUACUUGUACUUAAA